CGACGUAGGUAACCUGCCUGGUAGCGGGGGAUAACUAUUGGAAACGAUAGCUAAUACCGCAUAAUAUUAAUUAUUGCAUGAUAAUUAAUUGAAAGGUGCAAUUGCACCACUACCAGAUGGACCUGCGUUGUAUUAGCUAGUAGGUGAGGUAACGGCUCACCUAGGCGACGAUACAUAGCCGACCUGAGAGGGUGAUCGGCCACACUGGGACUGAGACACGGCCCAG
rnacentral:rRNA from 1 species